CGGGUGAGUAACACGUGGGUAACCUGCCCAUCAGAAGGGGAUAACACUUGGAAACAGGUGCUAAUACCGUAUAACAAUCGAAACCGCAUUGGUUUCGGUUUGAAAGGCGCUUUUGCGUCACUGAUGGAUGGACCCGCGGUGCAUUAGCUAGUUGGUGAGGUAACGGCUCACCAAGGCAACGAUGCAUAGCCGACCUGAGAGGGUGAUCGGCCACAUUGGGACUGAGACACGGCCCAA
rnacentral:rRNA from 1 species